rnacentral:rRNA from 1 species
CUUCCGUANGGGUAACCUGCGGAAGGAUCAUUACAGUAUUCUUUUGCCUGCGCUUAAUUGCGCGGCGAAAAACCUUACACACUUGUUUUUCUUAUUUGAAACUAUUGCUUUGGUCUGUCUUAGAAAUAAGUUGGGCCAAAGGUUUACACCAAACUUCAAUAUUUAUAUUGAAUUGUUAUUUUAAUUAUUUGUCAAUUUGUUGAUUAAAUUCAAAAAUCUUCAAAACUUUCAACAACGGAUCUCUUGGUUCUCGCAUCGAUGAAGAACGCAGCGAAAUGCGAUAAGUAAUAUGAAUUGCAGAUUUUCGUGAAUCAUCGAAUCUUUGAACGCACAUUGCGCCCUUUGGUAUUCCAAAGGGCAUGCCUGUUUGAGCGUCAUUUCUCUCUCAAAUCUUCGGAUUUGGUUUUGAGUGAUACUCUUAGUCAGACUAAGCGUUUGCUUGAAAUGUAUUGGCAUGAGUGGUACUAGAUAGUGCUGAACUGUUUCAAUGUAUUAGGUUUAUCCAACUCGUUGACCAGUAAAGUAUUUGUUUAUUACACAGGCUCGGCCUUACAACAACAAACAAAGUUUGACCUCAAAUCAGGUAGGACUACCCGCUGAACUUAAGCAUAUCA